GGGCAGGAUAGGUGAUGUGGGCCUACACGUGAACGUGUAUUCCUCCAUCACAACUCCUUAUUCGCACUUCGUGCUCAACGGAAACCUGAUCUGCCAGGCC
rfam:Duganella sp. Leaf126 contig_4, whole genome shotgun sequence.